ACUAGCUCUUCUUUCCGUUAAUCCUGACGAAGGGUCUCGGCCCGAAACGUCGACUGUACCUCUUCCUAUAGAUGCUGCCUGGCCUGCUGUGUUCACCAGCAACUUUGAUGUGUGUUGAAUGAAAUAAACAAGGCACCAACACGGAGUAGGCCUUUCGAACAACAACUUCCUCCCACCGCCCACCAACAAGUAACCUUAAUCGGGCUAACGGGACAGUUAACCUACCUGGCAGGUCUUUAGACUGCGGGCGAAAACCGGAGAACGCAGAGAAAAACCACGCAUUCCACUGCCAGGACAUACAGCGGCUCCUUACAGGAUUGCACCUGAAUUGAAGUCCGAACUUCGGAACGCCCUGCACUAUCCUGCCCUCUCAUUGGGAUGUAUUACUCGACAAGCUGAUGUUUAAGUGGUUGGUUGUAUACAGCACAUUGUCCUGAAGGCUGAUGUGUAUUUGAUAAGUGAUAAUUUCAAAAAACAAGGAUUGACUGGACAGUAUGGGAAAAUACUAGGCUGAGGGGGCACCUGGAUUUGAACCAAGGACCUCUUGAUCUGCAGUCAAAUGCUCUACCACUGAGCUAUACCCCCUUACAAGCAAAUAGACUGUACAUCCACCAGCAGAAAAGUCAGGAGUGGAAGUCAAAAGCCUUUGCAUUUCAAUUGAACAAAGGGGAACUACACUCUCGACCCAAGUCAGCCGUCAGAGGUUCAUCGAUUUUGCACAGCGCUAAG